rnacentral:rRNA from 1 species
AUUGAACGCUGGCGGCAGGCCUAACACAUGCAAGUCGAACGAGUGGCGGACGGGUGAGUAAUGUAUGGGAAUCUGCCUGAUGGAGGGGGAUAACUACUGGAAACGGUAGCUAAUACCGCAUACCAUCAGAUGCGCCCAGAUGGGAUUAGCUAGUUGGUGGGGCAACGGUUCACCAAGGCGACGAUCUCUAGCUGGUCUGAGAGGAUGACCAGCCACAUUGGAACUGAGACACGGUCCAGACUCCUACGGGAGGCAGCAGUGGGGAAUAUUGCACAAUGGGCGCAAGCCUGAUGCAGCCAUGCCGCGUGUAUGAAGAAGGCCUUCGGGUUGUAAAGUACUUUCAGCGGGGAGGCGUUACCCGCAGAAGAAGCACCGGCUAACUCCGUGCCAGCAGCCGCGGUAAUAC